GUAUCGUAUUGGGAGGAGGAAGUAACUGUUGAGAGUUUGUCGUAAAUAUGGAAAAUUUAUUAUACAACACCGAGUCACUGCUUCAAAAUGUUUCUCCACAACUUAAUGUCGUCCUCCUCUCUGGAAAGGAUAUAGUAGCAGUGUUUCAACUUUAAGCAUGUGCGUCACUCCUUCGUCUUCUUGUUGGACCUUGGAAAGGACCUGUGGUGCUUCAAAAGCCCAGAAUAUUUCUUCGUGACAUUUACCAUGGGAUUCGACGAUUGUUAUUCGAUGGCGUUGGUUUCACCAGCUGGAUUCGCCGGGCCACAACAUCGACGACGACGACGACGACGACGACGACGACGUUCUUCGCAUCUAAUCGGACCGACUUACCCAGACCAACUCGAUCGCUGGUAGCUUCGCGAUGAAUCCAAAAAGACACCCAACUCAGGACUACUAUCAAAACACA